rnacentral:rRNA from 1 species
AUGAGUAGCGCAAGGCAGGUGAGAAUCCUGCCCGCCGAAAAUCUAAGGAUUCCUGAGGAAGGUUCGUCCGCUCAGGGGUAGUCGGGACCUAAGCCGAGGGCGAAAGCCGUAGGCGAUGGAUAACAGGUAGAGAUUCCUGUACCACCGGAGGUCGUUUUAAGCGAAGUGGGGACACAGAAGGAUAGACUGAGCACGCCGCUGGUAGAGCGUGUCCAAGCGUCGAGGUAGGCAAUGUAGGCAAAUCCGCAUAGUCAAUACUGAGGCGUUACGGGGUGGCAAGUAAGCCGGAAGCAGUCGAUUUCACGCUGUCAAGAAAAGCCGCUAGCAAGACCCGAGGUGCCCGUACCGCAAACCGACACAGGUAGAUGAGGAGAGAAUCCUAAGGCGAGCGAGAGAACUAUUGUUAAGGAACUCGGCAAAAUGACCCCGUAACUUCGGGAGA